UGCCUUAGAUGUACUACUACUUUUGAUUACAAGAGCUAGAAGUAAAUCUAAGAAAAUUCAUGCCAUCUGGGAGAGAUGAAACACCAGCUUGCCGAGCCACUAGGAACCAAUGUGAGUGAUCCUGCAUGGGUAUCAUUCUCAUUUUAUUGCUAAGAAGUUGAGGAUCUUUAAGUGCUAAGAUUUUCCUAUUAUCUUGUGCUUUGGGGGUUGAAUUAUGGAGAUCAAUGAAGCCAGUGUGGAACUUUUGCAUUAAGAAACUUUGGGUGACCAUUCUAGAACCUUCAUCCAGUGACUGUUAGAAGCAAAGACAGAUACCCACAGCUAAACGCUGAACUGAAC